UGGGAACUCUUUUGGGAAUGAAUGAUACCAGAAAAUCCCUGAAACAAGAUUCUUCAGACAGAGCCCUUUGCCUACCUGUUGUCCAAGGGCUGCCCUCUGAAGGUGAUGACCAUAAAGACAAGGUGGAUUUGUUACUGUGGUUGCCAUUACUUCUGCCACCAGCUUCUCCCAAACAAUGCUACAGUCUUCUUUACGCAUGGGAACUCUUCUCUCGCCUGUGUUGCAGUGGACACCUCCUGCAGAUAAGAAAUGCUUAACUGAGAAAUGCUCAUGUUGGGAUAUCAUCGAUGAGACUUUAAUUUGGGCAUGGUGACUGUUUCCCUUGCUUCCACUUGACUCAAUCCCAGGAGCCUCAGUAGAGGAACUAUUAUUGCACAAGAAACUCAAAAUGAUGGAAUUUCUCAGUGCUCCCAUAAAUAAAUUUAUAAUAUUCAUUUGCCAUGUGGUAAACUUAAAAAAUAAGAUCUAUUAAAUUUUUUUCAAAAAUUCAAAGCAUAUCUAGACAUCUAAUAUAUAAAUUAAGUGCCCUGCCCUACUCUCUCCCAAUCCUCUCAGAGUUUUCCUCUAUUAAGGGAGUUGUGUGCAUUCUUUAAUUAGAUAGAUGCGCACACACACACACAUGCACACACAAGCAAUUUUGGGGGAGUUCUGAAAGUGGAGCUAUAUUGUACACAUUGAGAUUUCCUUUCAUUUAACAGUUUUUUCAAUGCCCUUUUUCUGUUUCAAUAAUACAUAUCUGUGUCAUUGUUGAAUGACUGCAUGACUGUUCUGUAUAUGAAAAAUAAUUAAAUGUUUAAGCAUUUCUCAUUCAUAUAUAUUUAUGUUAGCACCAAAUUUCUGCGCAAUGAACUUCCCUAUAUAUCAAUUAUUUGCAUUUGUCUAUUAUAUCAUAAUAAAUUACUUAGCAGUUGAAA